rnacentral:lncRNA from 1 species
AUGCAUGUCGAGAUAUGUUAUUUCUGUUUGGGGCCCACCUACCCUGGCCAUGGCAUGAUGUUCAUCCGCAAUGAUUGCAAGGUGUUCAGAUUUCGUAAAUCUAAAUGUCAUAAAAACUUUAAAAAGAAGUGCAAUCCUCGCAAAAUUAGGUGGACCAAAGCAUUCCACUCAGAAAGCAGCUGGUAAAGAGCUUACAGUGGAUAGUUAAUUUGAAUUUGAAAAACGUAGAAAUGAACCUAUCAAAUACCAGCGAGAGCUAUGGAAUACAACUAUUGAUGCAAUAAAGUGAGUUAAAGAGAUGAUCAAACAGAAACACUAAGCUAAAUUUAUAAUGAACAGAUUGAAGAAAAAGAAAGAGCUACAGAAAGUUCAGGACAUCAAAGAAGUCAAUCAAAACAUCCAUCUUAUCUGAGGCUUGCAGGCAAAGGGAAGCAGCUGGAAGAGAAAAUGGUACAGCAGUUACAAGAGGAUGUGGACAUGAAAGAUGCUUCUUAA